rfam:Collimonas arenae strain Cal35, complete genome.
GCGGCUGUAGCUCAGUGGAUAGAGUAUUGGCCUCCGAAGCCAAGGGUCGCUGGUUCGAUUCCAGCCAGCCGCA